AAGCUCAAAAAUGGGCAUCACAUCUCAUAGGGAAUUUUCCCGGUAGAGAUAUUUUGGAAAAAUUCUCCUUUUAGUGAAGUUUCUUCUCCAAAUGAUAAAGAGGCUUUUCAUUUCUCUAGAAGGGAAACAUUUAAAAUCAAAGAAUGGACUUGGGAAUACAAAUGGGGAGGCCUUCCUAUAAUUCUAUUUGGUUAUAUUUCUUGGUUUGAGAAUUUUUUUAAUCUAAUGAUCUUACUUUGAUCCUAGAAAGAUAUUUACAAGUCAAUUCAGUUUAACCAUUUCAUUAUCCUAGCAUACGUGGUAGGAUCAAAGCAGACAUCACAUUUAUUCAUUUUCUCACUGCCCCCUUCAACACCUUCUCUGGGUAUUUUGGGCACACUCCAACACUUCUCCAGUUCCUCUUAGUCCCAUUUGCUAUAAUAUCAAAAAUAGUAAACAUAACACUUACUCAGUUUGAAUCUUCUUUCCUUCCUUGCUCUCUCAUCCCCUAGUACCUCCCCCAGGUUUGGAAGCCUGGAAUAGGGGAGGCUGUCUUUACUGCUAUCCUGCUCUACCUCAUCUCACUUAAUAAUUUUGAUUUCUGGUCCCUACAGGGCUGGUAUGAGACAAAAGAGGUAGGAUGUCUCACCUGGCUGGCUUGGUUGUCACCUAGAACUGGACAUUGGUCAUGCACGGCUGACUCUGUCUUACUACUACCUUGGAGGUUCCAUGAGACCUUCCUUUCAUCUCUCAACGGGAUCCUCAAGAUUUUAUGUCCUCUCUUUACCUGGUGUCUCCCAAGGUAACAGACUCCUGGCUUUGUUUGAGGAUCAAUAUGCCUGGAUGAAACCCUUGCUUCCCUGCUUUUGUGUAUCUCCAAGUUGCCAGGUAAUGCAGUCUGGCUGAUGAGUCACAAACUGAUGGUUUCUGGUACAUCUUUUGCUUUUAUGAUCUAGGGAUGUUUCUCCUCCUCUUCUCUCUUGCUCAAUAGACAAAGACGUGGCCAGAGAAGCAGCCGUCUGUGGCCAUGGGGUGGAAGCAAAAUGAUGGGCUUGUGCCUGCCUAGGGCUGCCUCCUUUGGGAUUUGUUGCAUUAGUGGUAAGUACUCCUAUAUGUUUAAGCUACUGUGAGUUGGGU
rnacentral:lncRNA from 1 species